UCCCUGAUGGUCCAGUGGUUAAGAUUCCACACUCCCAAUGCAGAGCACCUGGGUUCAAUCCCUGGUCAUGGAA
rfam:Ovis aries breed Texel chromosome 18, whole genome shotgun sequence.